UACGGAGGGAGCUAGCGUUGUUCGGAAAUACUGGGCGUAAAGCGCACGUAGGCGGCGCAGCAAGUCAGGGGUGAAAUCCCGGGGCUCAACCCCGGAACUGCCUCUGAAACUGCAGUGCUAGAAUCUUGGAGAGGCGAGUGGAAUUCCGAGUGUAGAGGUGAAAUUCGUAGAUAUUCGGAAGAACACCAGUGGCGAAGGCGGCUCACUGGACGACUGUUGACGCUGAGGUGCGAAAGCGUGGGGAGCAAACAGG
rnacentral:rRNA from 1 species